rnacentral:rRNA from 1 species
AUUGAACACUGGCGGCAGGCCUAACACAUGCAAGUCGAGCGGAUGAAGCGAGCUUGCUCCUGGAUUCAGCGGCGGACGGGUGAGUACUGCCUAGGAAUCUGCCUGGUAGUGGGGGAUAACGUCCGGAAACGGGCGCUAAUACCGCAUACGACCUGAGGGAGCAAGUGGGUGAUCUUCGGACCUCACGCUAUCAGAUGAGCCUAGGUCGGAUGAGCUAGUUGGUGGGGUAAAGGCCUACCAAGGCGACGAGGCGUAACUGGUCUCAGAGGAUGAUCAGUCAGACGGGAACUGAGACACGGUCCAGACUCCUGCGGGAGGAAGCAGUGGGGAAUAUUGGACGAUGGGCGAGAGCCUGAUCCAGCCAUGCCGCGGGUGUGAAGAAGGUCUUCGGAUGGGAGAGCACUGUAGGUUGGGAGGAAGGGCAGCAAGUUAAUACCGGACUGUUUUGACGUUACCGACAGAAUAAGCACCGGCUAACUUCGUG